rnacentral:tRNA from 2 species
GGGCGCUUAGUUAAAUGGUAUAACAACGGUCUCCAAAACCGUUAUUGGGGGUUCGAUUCCCUCAGCGCCCGCCG